rnacentral:rRNA from 1 species
UACGUAGGGAGCUAGCGUUGUCCGGAAUCAUUGGGCGUAAAGCGCGCGUAGGCGGCCCGGUAAGUCCGCUGUGAAAGUCAAAGGCUCAACCUUUGAAUGUCAGCGGAUACUGCCGGGCUAGAGUCCGGAAGAGGCGAGUGGAACUCCUGGUGUAGCGGUGGAAUGCGCAGAUAGUCAGGAAGAACACCAACGGCGAAGGCAGCUCGCUGGGACGGAACUGACGCUGAGGUGCGAAAGCGUGGGGAGCAAACGGG